UACGGGGGGGGCAAGCGUUGUUCGGAAUUACUGGGCGUAAAGGGCUCGUAGGCGGCCAACUAAGUCAGACGUGAAAUCCCUCGGCUUAACCGGGGAACUGCGUCUGAUACUGGAUGGCUUGAGUGUGGGAGAGGGAUGCGGAAUUCCAGGUGUAGCGGUGAAAUUCGUAGAUAUGGGGAGGAACACCGGUGGCGAAGGCGGCCAUCUGGACGGUAACUGACGCUGAGACGCGAAAGCGUGGGGAGCAAACAGG
rnacentral:rRNA from 1 species